ACAGAAAAGAAAAGUGGAGAAUGCUGGCUGGAAACAGAUACAUAUGGCGAUAUUGCAUUUCAUUAUUUUGCCCAAGAUUUUUUUUAGUCUUUACUUUAGUUUUUAUU
rnacentral:ribozyme from 14 species